rnacentral:lncRNA from 1 species
CCUUUUUCCAAUUCUGGACAAUUUUAGAAUAAUCAGAGGCGAACGGGCAUUGAUGAGGGGGAAACAGAAAGAUUCAUUUUUCCAGGGAAAGCAGAAUUGACUCGGACCAAGCAAUAAUAGUUAUACCAAAUACUCACUCAAAAGAUGAACAGUGAAGGAGUGAGAUCAGUUUUGACUCGACGCGCAUCGUAGAUUUCCUGCACGUCAGAAUGUGUGAUAGGCAGCCGUUGGAUGUAUCAGAUCACG